UACGUAGGGAGCAAGCGUUGUUCGGAUUUACUGGGCGUAAAGGGCGCGUAGGCGGCGCGGUAAGUCACUUGUGAAAUCUCCGGGCUUAACCCGGAAAGGUCAGCCGAUACUGCGGGGCUAGAGUGCAGAAGGGGCAACUGGAAUUCUCGGUGUAGCGGUGAAAUGCGUAGAUAUCGAGAGGAACACCUGCGGCGAAGGCGGGUUGCUGGGCUGACACUGACGCUGAUGCGCGAAAGCUAGGGGAGCGAACGGG
rnacentral:rRNA from 1 species